rnacentral:rRNA from 1 species
UACGGAGGGGACUAGCGUUGUUCGGAAUUACUGGGCGUAAAGCGCACGUAGGCGGAUUUGUAAGUCAGGGGUGAAAUCCCGGGGCUCAACCUCGGAACUGCCUUUGAUACUGCAAAUCUCGAGUCCGGAAGAGGUGAGUGGAAUUCCUAGUGUAGAGGUGAAAUGCGCAGAUAUCAGGAGGAACACCGGUGGCGAAGGCGCCACUCUGGGCCGAAACUGACGCUGAGGAGCGAAAGCGUGGGGAGCAAACAGG